AGUCCUGAACUAACAAAAGUGCGCUUUGUCGCUUAGCUGGCUGAGGGAGCAGAGUUUGCCUCUCUCAUCUGCGGAAAAUCAAAUCGCGGGAGGGAAAAGCGGCCGGGAGGAACAGGGGCGAGGAUCGCCCCCCACACACGCCUCGGAAUAUAAUGCACUCCUGGCACUUUUCCUCGCUGAUCGCGCGAACGGAAACGCUGCCCCGAGCGCAACGAACGGUGGCGAUUCUGGGGAGGCUCGUCUAUAGUUCCACCUACCCGCCACAGCUUUGCUAUGGACAUGACUCUAGAUGCUUUCUGGAUGACCCGGUUCAUUAUACCUGGCAAUAUUGGUAAUUCCUGGCACUGUGGCCAACUCUGUCUUCUCCAAUCACUGUGCCUUAUUUUCUUGAGCCAUUAUGCUUUGAACAGUGGGCCUGUCUGGUUCUUUAGUUGCACUUACAGGUAUGGAGAAGAUGCAUGGGCUGAAGUAGGAAGGAGCAUCCCCAAUGCUCCUUACGCUUUGCCUAUGACCUAUCAGUUGAGCAACUUGGAAGGUGGUUAAAAGCUCCAAGCCAGGUAUUGAUCUGCAAUCAAGGUCAACAGUCUUAUUUAUUACCCAUUCAUUCAGGAGAGUGAUUGGUGGCUGCUUGGAAGACGUUUGGAGGUAACCCACCAAUUAGUUUCCUUAACUUGUUCCACAAUGAUAUUGUAAAGAUUGUAUCGCUGCCACAUAUUCCAAUAGCAGAAUAGGGCAGAAAGUCCAGGCAGCAAAAAUUAUCUGACAUGUCAUUUUGCCAGCUCAAGGAGUGGGGUAUAGCACACUACAGUGAUCAUGAGGAAGAGCCCUACUAUAUUUAUUUCAUUCUCUGCUGUUGUUCUUUUAGCCCACUCAUGAGUUGUAGUGGAUUAGAAUAUUGGUAAUUCCAAAUAUUUUAACACUCUACUACAGAGGUGGAAACGAUGGCCCCUUUAUGACUAGUGGACUUCAACUCCCAGAAUUCCUGAACCAGCCUGGCUGGCUCAGGAAUUCUGAGGCUUAAAAGUCCAUAAGUCAUAAAAGGGCCAUCGUUCCCCAUUCCUGCUCUUCUAUAUAAAAUUGCAAUCUUCUUCUAAUACAAUGGUGUGGAAAUACAGAUUUCAGGCUUGGAGAGUCUGCUAUCAUCUUAUCUUUGUGUAAGAACAUUUUUUUUCCUGUCCAGGCUUGGUAUUGGGCCUUCCACCCAAGGAUUAGAAUCUCUUGGCAGUGAAAGUACUGUAUAGCCAAAAGUAUCAGAAACAUUUUAUUUCCAGUGCUGCAUUGUGUAGCUUUACUUUUGCUUACAUGUUGUGUUCUUUGCUUCUUGUUUGUUUCUCUGCUUUGCACAAUGAAUAAAUUAUGGCCUUUGUAUAAUGACAUCUGAAAGCUACCCUCAGUCAUCCUAGAGCUAAAGUAGAGGGGUUGGAAGGGUGGAGACCCCAGGAAGAUACCUGGCAGGUUAGGUUAUUUUUUUAUGAAAGAAAUCUUAUUAGAAACAGCUCUUAUUGAAUAGAAGUAUAUAGAAGAAUAAGGUUGAAGUAUAUAGAAGAAUAACAUUGCACCAGUCUAUAAGACAGAGUAAGAAAGUGAAUGAAUAAACUAAAGUUAUGUUCAAAAUUUUGUCUAAUAUAAAUCAAAUUUGCUCUAAAACCACCAAAAUAAUUGCUAGAGGCUUAGAUAUGGCAAUAAUAAUGGUCCAAAAAAAAUCAUGUAUGUUUCUUUUCUGGAAAGGAGCAGCCAUAUUUUCUUGGCAGAAAAAUAUGACAUGAGAAAAUUUCAUCAGUUGAAUUUCUGCCCACCACGGAGUUGUUACAAAGCACAUAAGCCUCAGCAUGAGGAAAAAUUGGUAGCGUUAAGGUAAUUUGGGGCUAAUCUUGGAUUGACAAAGAUUCAGUUCAGCUAGAGGCCAUUAAGUCUGGACAAGAAUGAUGUUUUUCAGAUCAAAGAAAUGGAUGGAAAAAACCAUGCUUCUAGGCCUUUAACAACACUAACUCAGCUAAUGUGCAUAGGCAAUAACUCUUAACUUGUCACGGUAAUCUUCCCUGGCUGAUAUUUCCAGAUAAAGAUGCUAUUAACUGCAAAGGAGCAAGCCAGCCAUUCUCCUUCCUCGUCUGUUGACCUUCAUCUGAAUUGGAUGAUACUUUGGCAUUAUCUCGGACCAUAUUUCCGGCCAGGCAGGCUAGUUUACAUCGACUGUUUCUAAAGAAGGAGUUUCCUGUGCUUCUGGCUUCUGCUUUAGCGCAUGCUAGGAAACACUUAAAAACAGAUACAAGGCUGUAUGGCUUUUCUGCACAUAUUGCUAGUUGUCCCUUACUGCUUAAAAAUACAACAGAAAAGCAGAUAUUUGGCUAAGCUCAGUAACCUUAUGGCAUUCAGGACUUUGGGGGAAUAGGAAAAUAUUUCUGCAUGAAAGCACCUAGGAAACCUGUGCCAUAAAGCAUACCUUGUUCUACUUAUGUGGAAGCUUGUGUAACAAAAAUAUUUAUCAGGCACGUGCUUUCAGCAACAGCUGUGCCUCUUAUUUGCACAUACUUUGUGGCAAAGAAUGAUCUUUUGCUAAGUUGAAGAGAUUCUUAGGAAAUGUAUUGUAAGAAAAGAUUAUGUUACAAGAGUAUGUUGAGAGUGUAGUUGAUGUGAGAGGAUAAUGCAGGAGGCAUAAUUACAUAUGCCACCUUGGGCUGUGCAAAAUAAAGGCAGGAUAUAACUGUAGUGACUAAAUGAACAAAUGACUGAAUGAAUAUACUGGAGAGAAAAUCUCCAAUAGCCAAUACAUGGGCACCAGCUCUCAUUUUCUGAAAACAGACAGAACCCAGCUGAGGCUGGUCCUUACAAACAAUAUUAAUCUUAACAUAUUUCAAUAUUAAAACUGAUUCUUUAGAGCAAGCAACUACAAUUCAAGUCUUACUGAAGAAAGUAUAGGGCCCACCACUGACAAAAAAUGGGCAGGUAGCUGCUAUGGAAGAUUGCCCGAUUUGUUUCAGAUAUUUCAAAUGUGUGUUUGGCAGAAGGAGAGACAGCAGGAGAGCAGAGAUGCAACCUGAUUCAAUGCCAGCUUACUUGUGAGAAAACAAGAUUAAAUUUAGGGGCUUCUGCAGUUGAUGUUCAUUUGUACACAUUAGAGGUUUCCAAUUAAAAGUGGCCUUCAAAGGGAUGGCUGAUUUUAAGUCGGUUAAUAUAUCCUGGUAAAUUGCAUUCAAGAAGUUAAUUCCUGGGUUUCAAAAUAGAACGUUCUACAAUAAUUGCUUAAGAUAAUCAAUAAAAUAUAUUCAUUCUAUAGGUAGUCUUCAAUUUACAAGCACAAUUGAGUCCAAAAUUUCUGUUGCAAAGUGAGACAUUUGUUAAGUGAAUUUUGCCCCAUUUUACUUUCUUGCCACAGUUAUGUGAAUCACUGCAGUUGUUAAGUUAGUAACAUGGUUGUUAAGUGAAUCUGGCUUCCCCAUUGACUUUGCUUAUCAGAUGAUCACAUGACCAUGGGAUACUUUUUUGUUUGUUUGUUUACAUUUAUAUCCCGCCCUUCUCCGAAGACUCAGGGCGGCUUACAGUGUGUAAGGCAAUAGUCUCAUUCUAUUUGUAUAUUUUUACAAAGUCAACUUAUUGCCCCCCCAACAAUCUGGGUCCUCAUUUUACCUACCUUAUAAAGGAUGGAAGGCUGAGUCAACCUUGGGCCGGGCUCGAACCUGCAGUAAUUGCAGGCUACUGUGUUCUAAUAACAGGCUCUAACAGCCUGAGCUAUUACGGCCCUGCAACCAUCAUAAACGUGAAUCAGUUGCCAAGUGUCUGAAUUUUGAUCCUAUGACCAUAUGACUGCAACAGUCGUAGGUGUGAAAAACAAUCAUGUCACUUUUUUCAGUGCUGUUGUAACUUUGAACAUUAAGCAAGCUGUUGUACCUUGAGGACUACCUGUAUUCUUAUAUCAUUAUGUUAAUCAAGUUUCUGGGUGUGCAGCUAACAAGUAGGCUAGCUUGGUUGCUCAACACUGCUCAACAGCAGUGCCUGCAUUUUCUGUGUCACAUGUGAAAAGUACAUCUUCCUUCCCCUGUCCUUACCACUUUCUAUAGAGGGAGGAUCGAGAGCAUCCUGUCAUAUUGCAUUACUGUCUGGUUUGACAGGAAGGCGGGGCAGAAAGUGGUGAGGAUGGCAGAAAGGUUUAUUGGUAGUUCACUCUCUUCCAUCCAGGACAUAGCAUAUAAGCAAUACUUGAGCAGGGUCUGCAGGAUUGUCUGGGACACUACACAUCCUCUUCAAAACCUGUUUUCCUUGUUACCUUCUGGGAGGAGGCUUCGUAGUAUCCAAAGUAGGACAUCCAGAUUCAGCCACAAUUUUGUUCCAUAUAGCAUCAACCUUGUGAACUCUCAAGUUUCCUCUUUCUGCUAUGUAUUCAAAAUAGAUAGUGAUUAAUAUUUAUAUUAUAUAUGUAUAGGCAGUGGUGGGUUGCUACCAGUUCACCCUGACUCGGGCAAACAAGUAGCAGCAAUGGUGGUAGGCUCCGCCCACCCACCCGGAUGUUUCUGCACAUGCGCAGAAGCGCCCACGCACCCACGAGCAAACCGGUAACAACAGGAUUUGAAACCCACUAUUGUGUGUAGCGGUGUAGUUUUCCUAGUUGCAAUGUAUGAAAGUUGGACCAUAAAGAAGGCUGAGUACCAAAGAAUUGAGGCCUUUGAACUAUGGCGCUGGAGAAGACUCCUGCGAGUCCCUUGGACUACAAGGCGAUCAAACAGGUCAGUCCUAGAGGAGAUCAACCCUGACAGUUCUUUAGAAGGCCAGAUCCUGAAGAUGAAAUUGAAAUACUUUGGCCACCUAAUGAGAAGGAAGGACUCACCAAAGAAGAGGCUAAUGCUGGGACAGAUCGAGGGCAAAAGAAGAAAGUGAUGACAGAGAAUGAGGUGGCUGGAUGGAGUCACUGAAGCAGUUGGUGUGAGCUUAAAUGGACUCCAGAGGUUGGUAGAGGACAGGAAGGCCUGGAGGAACGUUGUCCAUGGGGUCGCGAAUGGGAUCGGACAGGACUUUGCGACUAACAACAACAUGGAUGUAGAUUUUGUGUGUGUGUGUCUAUAGCAUGUGUGUGUAUGUGUGUGUAGAUAUAUACUUUAUUUUGAGACCAGGCAACAGAAUUUCAUUUUUAAUGUGGAUCAAUGUGCUCACAGUAAAAAAUGACAAUAAAGUUUAUCUUAUCUAAUCUUUUUAAUUAUGUGAAUACUGUGAAAUACUGCACUGAACUUCUCAUUCACUCCCCUGUACAUACUCUCAAUUUAAAGCAAAAGGUCCUGGAAGUGAAUCGCAGAGGGAGGAUUGAGAGCUCAUUGGAAGAGAUGGAAUCCAUUUUGCCCACAAGCAUCCUUGGUUAUAGCCUGGUGUUUCUGUAAUGGUUUAUAUCAAGAUAAGGAGAUUAUAU